rnacentral:rRNA from 1 species
UACGUAGGGAGCAAGCGUUGUUCGGAUUUACUGGGCGUAAAGGGCGCGUAGGCGGCAUAUUAAGUCAUCUGUGAAAUCUCCGAGCUUAACUCGGAACUGUCAGCUGAUACUGAUGUGCUAGAGUGCGGAAGGGGCAAUCGGAAUUCUUGGUGUAGCGGUGAAAUGCGUAGAUAUCAAGAGGAACACCUGAGGUGAAGACGGGUUGCUGGGCCGACACUGACGCUGAGUGCGCGAAAGCCAGGGGAGCAAACGGGG